AUCAUUUUUAGGCCGUGCUCUGUGUGAAUAUGUUUUUAACUAUAAUCAUAUUGCACAUCUCCCGGCCUAUAAGUGU
rnacentral:pre_miRNA from 1 species